rnacentral:rRNA from 1 species
AGCAGCCGCGGUAAUUCCAGCUCCAAUAGCGUAUAUUAAAGUUGUUGCAGUUAAAAAGCUCGUAGUUGAAUUUCGGGAUUGGCGCAUCGGUCGUGCCUCACGGGGUAUGAACUGGUGCAGUCAAUUUCUCACCUUCUGGAGAACCGCGAUGUCCUUAAUUGGAUGCCGCGGGGAACCAGGACCUUUACUUUGAAAAAUUAGAGUGUUUAAAGCAGGCAUUUUUGCUUGAAUACAUUAGCAUGGAAUAAUAAAAUAGGACGGCAUGGUUCUAUUUUGUUGGUUUCUAGGACCACCGUAAUAAUUAAUAGGGAUAGUUGGGGGCAUUAGUAUUCAAUUGUCAGAGGUGAAAUUCUUGGAUUUAUUGAAGACUAACUACUGCGAAAGCAUUUGCCAAGGAUGUUUUCAUUAAUCAAGAACGAAAGUUAGGGGAUCGAAGACGAUCAGAUACCGUCGUAGUCUUAACCAUAAACUAUGCCGACUAGGGAUCAGACGAUGUUAAUUUUUAAUGUACUCGUUUGGC